rnacentral:lncRNA from 1 species
GCAUUCUAGUGCGACCUUGUUUACACCUCCCCUGGCUCAGUCACACAGCUGUGUGGUAGGCUACUAGAAGUGUUUAGUAGUUGUCACUGGGAUCAUGCUGAUGUGGCCCCAUCCCCGCCUCUCCCUGCCCUGUGAUAUCGGAGGAAACCUGACAGAGCAAAUUGGCCAUGGCCAAGAAAAAGGAAAAGAAAGAGUGCCACCAAAAGCAGGGAGCCCUAAGGGAGCAGUUACAGGUCCUCUUUGGAUUCCAGCACGACGCAUCAAACCAUACCAUGACGUGACUAGGACCCAACCUAGAAAUGAAGGAACUGACCCUACAGGACUCACAACCCUGGAUAAUGCAGUGUCCUCGGACGGCAACAAGCUCUGGACAUUACCUGGGGGAUGCUGAAGGCGGCAACUGAGGAGGCUGAAUGAAUCCUGCUCCAGACACAGACACCAUUCACUCCAGAUAAUUUGUUGCUUGCUAUGCUCUCUGUUGUACAUUGCAACUCGCAUAGGGAUGCAAAGCCGGAAUAAGAGCAAUGACCACCAUGCCUGACAGACCUGUUGCUGCGCACACCUGUACUCUCCAAUGAACAAGACUGAAUGCAAAAAAAACAGAAAAUGGGGAGAUUUAGGGGAUCAGUCAGUGUGGUUGGAAAAUUGUAAGAUGAAGUUACAGGAUAUAGACACAAACCUUCUUGGAAGGCCAGAAGGUUUGCAUAGCUUCAGUAAAGGAUUUGGCUGAAAUCCUUUUUACCUCUAAUCCCCUUUACCUUGAGUUGAUAGCAAUAGAGCAAAUAACAUGGGAAUGUGGGGGAGUUUAUCUGAAUAGCUUGUUUACUCAUGUGGUCCUAAGACCAACCUUUGAUUAUCCGCAGGUGCAUGAUUGCUCUCUACCUGGGGGCAGGGGGAGUUAAUUACCCACAGGUGGAGCUGAAGAGCCAGGAGGCUCAGAGUCUGCAGCAGCAGCAGGACCAGUACCUGGGUCAUCUGCAGCAGUAUGUGGCCACCUAUCAGCAGCAGGUGGUCACCUAUCAGCAGCUGACCUCUGAGGAGGAGGAGCUGCACAACCAGUUACUGCUGCAGACCCAGCUCGUGGACCGGCUGCAGCAGCAGAAAGCUCAAAGCAAAGCUGUGGCCAAGAUGGGCUGCCAAGAGUUGCGGGAGACCCAGGAGCACCUGGAAGCUAUCAGCCAGCAGAACCAGCAGCCUCAGGCCCAGUUGAGCCUCAUGGCUCUCCCUGGGGAAGGUACCGGAGACUGCUCACAGGAAGAGGAGAGAGCCCCAGGAGGAAACGGGAACUGUUAG